rnacentral:rRNA from 1 species
UACGUAGGGGGGCAAGCGUUGUCCGGAAUCAUUGGGCGUAAAGCGCGCGUAGGCGGCCCGGUAAGUCCGCUGUAAAAGUCAAAGGCUCAACCUUUGAAUGUCAGUGGAUACUGCCGGGCUAGAGUCCGGAAGAGGCGAGUGGAACUCCUGGUGUAGCGGUGGAAUGCGCAGAUAUCAGGAAGAACACCGACGGCGAAGGCAGCUCGCUGGGACGGUACUGACGCUGAGGCGCGAAAGCGUGGGGAGCGAACAGG